UCCAUCUGUGUCAUCCUCUUUUUUCAAUCACCAUAAACUGUCUCCAUCGUGUCAUCCACAUAACUGNUCCUGACCCUUUAUCCUCUCUAUCCUCUAACCAUGACCUUAUACUCUCUAUCCUCUAACCAUGACCCUUUAUCCUCUAACCAUGACCCUUUAUACUCUCUAUCCUCUAACCAUGACACUUUAUCCUCUAACAAUGACCCUUUAUCCUCUCUAUCCUCUAACCAUGACCCUUUAUCCUCUCUAUCCUCUAACCAUGACACUUUAUACUCUCUAUCCUUUAACCCUGACAAUUUAUACUCUCUAUCCUCUAACCAUGACCCUUUAUCCUCUCUUUCCUCUAACCAUGAGCCUUUAUCCUCUCUUUCCUCUAACCAUGACACUUUAUCCUCUAGCAAACUAUGACCUAACCCCAGCCUAUCAAUUAUCUUUACAUAUCCCAACACAUCUGGCCUACACACUAGAGGUCGACCAAUUAAUCGGCUAUUCCGUUUUCAGCCGAUUACAUUGCACUCCACGAGGAGACUGUGUGGCAGGCUGA
rnacentral:lncRNA from 1 species